UACGUAGGGGGCAAGCGUUGUCCGGAUUUAUUGGGCGUAAAGAGCGUGUAGGCGGCCGUACAGGUCAGCUGUGAAAACUCGAGGCUCAACCUCGAGACGUCGGUUGAAACCGUACGGCUAGAGUCCGGAAGAGGAGAGUGGAAUUCCCGGUGUAGCGGUGAAAUGCGCAGAUAUCGGGAAGAACACCAGUGGCGAAGGCGAGUCUCUGGACAUUUCCUGACGCUGAGGCACGAAAGCCAGGGGAGCAAACGGG
rnacentral:rRNA from 1 species